GUACGGAUGCCUGAGUGGUCGAAAGGGUAGGUCUCCAAAACCUAUAGAGACGAAAGUUGAACAGCGUGGGUUCGAAUCCUACUCCGUGUGCA
rnacentral:tRNA from 1 species